GACGAUGCGUAGGGGUUCUGAGAGGAAGGUCCCCCACACUGGUACUGAGACACGGACCAGACUCCUACGGGAGGCAGCAGUGAGGAAUAUUGGUCAAUGGCCGCAGGGCUGAACCAGCCAAGUCGCGUGAGGGAUGACGGUCCUAUGGAUUGUAAACCUCUUUUGUCAGGGAGCAAAGGACGCCACGUGUGGCGUUUUGCGAGUACCUGAAGAAAAAGCAUCGGCUAACUCCGUGCCAGCAGCCGCGGUAAUACGGAGGAUGCGAGCGUUAUCCGGAUUUAUUGGGUUUAAAGGGUGCGCAGGCGGAAUGUCAAGUCAGCGGUAAAAUUUCGGGGCUCAACCCCGUCGUGCCGUUGAAACUGGCGUUCUUGAGUGAGCGAGAAGUAUGCGGAAUGCGUGGUGUAGCGGUGAAAUGCAUAGAUAUCACGCAGAACUCCGAUUGCGAAGGCAGCAUACCGGCGCUCAACUGACGCUCAUGCACGAAAGCGUGGGUAUCGAACAGGAUUAGAUACCCUGGUAGUCCACGCAGUAAACGAUGAAUACUAACUGUCCGGGCCGAUUGAGGUCUGG
rnacentral:rRNA from 1 species